GAUGAACGCUGGCGGCGUGCCUAAUACAUGCAAGUCGAGCGAACGGACGAGGAGCUUGCUCCUCUGACGUUAGCGGCGGACGGGUGAGUAACACGUGGAUAACCUACCUAUAAGACUGGGAUAACUUCGGGAAACCGGAGCUAAUACCGGAUAAUAUAUUGAACCGCAUGGUUCAAUAGUGAAAGACGGUUUUGCUGUCACUUAUAGAUGGAUCCGCGCCGCAUUAGCUAGUUGGUAAGGUAACGGCUUACCAAGGCAACGAUGCGUAGCCGGGCUGAGAGGGUGAUCGGCCACACUGGAACUGAGACACGGUCCAGACUCCUACGGGAGGCAGCAGUAGGGAAUCUUCCGCAAUGGGCGAAAGCCUGACGGAGCAACGCCGCGUGAGUGAUGAAGGUCUUCGGAUCGUAAAACUCUGUUAUUAGGGAAGAACAAAUGUGUAAGUAACUAUGCACGUCUUGACGGUACCUAAUCAGAAAGCCACGGCUAACUACGUGCCAGCCGCCGCAGUAACAC
rnacentral:rRNA from 1 species